GCAUCUAUGGUCUAGCGGUAGGAUAUAUGCUUCCCAAGCAUAUGGCUCGGGUUCGACUCCCGGUGGAUGCA